rnacentral:tRNA from 1 species
GGUAGAGUGUCCGAGUGGUUAAGGAGAAGCACUUGAAGCGAUUUAGCUAGAUAUGCUUUGCGUUCGCGCGCGUAGGUUCGAAUCCUAUCUCUAUCG